GAACUCUUCGGAGUUAGUGGCGGACGGGUGAGUAACACGUGGGAACGUGCCUUUAGGUUCGGAAUAACUCAGGGAAACUUGUGCUAAUACCGAAUGUGCCCUUCGGGGGAAAGAUUUAUCGCCUUUAGAGCGGCCCGCGUCUGAUUAGCUAGUUGGUGAGGUAAAGGCUCACCAAGGCGACGAUCAGUAGCUGGUCUGAGAGGAUGAUCAGCCACAUUGGGACUGAGACACGGCCCAAACUCCUACGGGAGGCAGCAGUGGGGAAUCUUGCGCAAUGGGCGAAAGCCUGACGCAGCCAUGCCGCGUGAAUGAUGAAGGUCUUAGGAUUGUAAAAUUCUUUCACCGGGGACGAUAAUGACGGUACCCGGAGAAGAAGCCCCGGCUAACUUCGUGCCAGCAGCCGCGGUAAUACGAAGGGGGCUAGCGUUGCUCGGAAUUACUGGGCGUAAAGGGAGCGUAGGCGGACAUUUAAGUCAGGGGUGAAAUCCCGGGGCUCAACCUCGGAAUUGCCUUUGAUACUGGGUGUCUUGAGUAUGAGAGAGGUGUGUGGAACUCCGAGUGUAGAGGUGAAAUUCGUAGAUAUUCGGAAGAACACCAGUGGCGAAGGCGACACACUGGCUCAUUACUGACGCUGAGGCUCGAAAGCGUGGGGAGCAAACAGGAUUAGAUACCCUGGUAGUCCACGCCGUAAACGAUGAUUGCUAGUUGUCGGGAUGCAUGCAUUUCGGUGACGCAGCUAACGCAUUAAGCAAUCCGCCUGGGGGAGUACGGUCGCAAGAUUAAAACUCAAAGGAAUUGACGGGGGCCCGCACAAGCGGUGGAGCAUGUGGGUUUAAUUCGAAGCAACGCGCAGAACCUUACCACCUUUUGACAUGCCUGGACCGCCAGAGAGAUCUGGCUUUCCCUUCGGGGACUAGGACACAGGUGCUGCAUGGCUGUCGUCAGCUCGUGUCCUGAGAUGUUUGGGUUAAGUCCCGCAACGAGCGCAACCCUCGCCAUUAGUUGCCAUCAUUUAGUUGGGAACUCUAAUGGGACUGCCGGU
rnacentral:rRNA from 1 species